UGCCCUAGUAACGGCGAGCGAAGCGGCAACAGCUCAAAUUUGAAAUCUGGCUAUUUUGUAGUCCGAGUUGUAAUUUGUAGAGGAUGCUUUUGGUGAGGUGCCUUCCGAGUUCCCUGGAACGGGACGCCAGAGAGGGUGAGAGCCCCGUACGGUUGGAUACCAAACCUUUGUAUAGCUCCUUCGACGAGUCGAGUAGUUUGGGAAUGCUGCUCUAAAUGGGAGGUAUAUCUCUUCUAAAGCUAAAUAUAGGCUAGAGACCGAUAGCGCACAAGUAGAGUGAUCGAAAGAUGAAAAGCACUUUGAAAAGAGAGUUAAACAGCACGUGAAAUUGUUGAAAGGGAAGCGCCUAUGACCAGACUUGUUUCUUUCAGUUUUGUUAGUUUUCGGACUGAUUUACUCUGUUAGUACAGGCCAGCAUCAGUUUGUUGUCAGGGAGAAAGGCUUAGGGAAUGUGGCUCUUUCGGGAGUGUUAUAGCCCUUUGCAUAAUACCUUUCGGCAGACUGAGGACCGCGCUUCGGCAAGGAUGCUGGCGUAAUGGUCAUCAGCGACCCGUCUUGAAACACGGACCAAGGAGUCAACCUUAUGUGCGAGUGUUUGGGUGUAAAACCCCAGCGCGUAAUGAACGUGAACGUAGGUGAGAGCUUCGGCGCAUCAUCGACCGAUUCUGAUGUUCUCGGAUGGAUUUGAGUAAGAGCACACAGGGUUGGACCCGAAAGAAGGUGAACUAUGCUUGUAUAGGGUGAAGCCAGAGGAAACUCUGGUGGAGGCUCGCAGCGGUUCUGACGUGCAAAUCGAUCGUCAAAUAUGAGCA
rnacentral:rRNA from 1 species